ACCAUUUGAAAACGGUCACAUCUCACGGUCACACUUCAAUUUUAAGUAGGAAAUCAUAAGAUGAUUCCUCCUGCUGCAACUACAAAGGUCUGACCGGUCUUGAACGACUUUUACUGACUAAAACCCAUCUCUGUUCUUUCUGGAGCCUUUUGAGUACCAGGAUCACGGUAACUGUUUCUAACGAUCCCGCAGUCCCGGAGGAAGAUUAUCCUGAUUUAAAUGAUUGGCAGUCUUCGAGGGAUCAGUCAACUAAUAGUUUUCUGAUUUCACAGCUUAUAACGUUUAAUUUACCUGACACUACAACUGGGAAAAACUGUAGGUAGUGCAAGGUUCUAAUUAAUUGUUAGAAAGUAAUCUCUUUGGGGAAGGGAAGCAAAUAUUUUCACAUCUGACGUCCACAGAUUUUUUAUGAAAGAUCCUAAAGAUCAAUUGUAAUUUAGGUUUAAUUGUAGAUUCACAACCUACCGACAUGUUUUUGCUUUCUUGAUAGAUCUUCUUACUUAAAAAAAGGGCGGGAUAUCUUUGUUACUUAUGCCUUUGUUUUUAUCAAAUGAUAACUUUUUAUCUCAGCGAUGCAGUGAAUACAUAUCUAUAUAUGCAAAAACCUAUCUUAUACGUGUAAUAUACCUACCUACCAAUACCUACUUAUAUUUCGUUAUCUUAUCGGUACCAAUGUCCGUACUUGUAUGUACAUUUUACGAAACUGAAAUAAUCGAUCCUUCCAAACUUAUGGGUACAAUUUAAACAGUGACGUCUAUAAUCAUAUGGAAUCAUACCUACCUACUAUCUAUAGAUUCGCUGCAUUGAACCAUAGAGUGCAAUUUCGUUUUCCCUGUACUUUGUUUAUGCACUCAGAACGUCUGUCUGGGAUUGCCCGCCAUUGCCCGCCCUGCGACCUUAGUCAUGCUUUCGUAUUUUUAGUCCUUACGGAAAGUCUACGUUAAAUUGUGUUCAUUACGGAAGAAACCUUCGACGAUCACACUUGGCCCUACAUAUUCUACUUCAACCAUUCCUGGGCUUUCACUUGCACCAACAAGUCGACGUGGUCAAGCAAUCUCUUCUCUGCUCUCGGUCCGGUUUCGGAGUAACCCGCCGCGACCUGUCCCUUGCACUCCAUGAACAGGAUCCACUGGAUAAUAGUUUACAUGUUCAUAAUCAAUGUUUGUGUAACUGCAAAAGGUGGACGCGGUGGUGGUGGAGGAGGGUCACGAGGUGGCGGGCGGGCACGUGGAGGAGGAGGACGCUUUCGUGCCCAUUCACCUGGAGGGUCUCUUAGCGGAUCUCGAAGCAGAUUACGUGCAGGAUCGCGUGUGCUUAUUUUUGGAAGACCUAUUGCAGGGUCACAUGGAGAAGAUUAUUAUGAGUCGCAUGAAGAAUCGCAUACUCAUGAGCCCCCUUCCUAUUCUCAUCUGACUAAAAGCCUCACCCAUUUCACGUACCACCCACCCGAGUACAUAAACUUCACAUGUCACAACUGCUCUUCCUCUGUACUUUAUCCAGUAUACAAGCCGAUGCUACCGAGUUAUGUGUUUGCUUGCAAAGAAUCUCGCAGUAGAUACAGGGACGUACUCGCGGGCCUCUGUCUGUACAACCUAGCUCGUACCACUUUAACUGUCGGGAACUAUUCGCGUCACUACAUGCCUCGAUCCAGUGAAAGUUGUUCUCUUCAAAUCAUCGAAUUUUCACACUUUGAAGAAAUUGAAUUUCCAUGUUUUAUGAUCUCAACAUUUAUUGAACCAGCACCAACGACGAAUGUGAACGAUUCUAGUCUGAUUGACAUAUCGUUGUUACAAAUUGAUGUGUCGCCUUUUCUAAUGGAUAAUAAUUCUGCUAUAGAGGUGACUAAUGAGCAAGAGUGCUUGAUAUGGUAUAACUUAACAAUUAUUAAAGAGGCACGAGUAUAUCACUUUCCUUGCGCGUUGUUGAAGGAGUAUGCGAAUAGUUUGACAGAAUCUGGCAUACCUGCUUACAUAUGGCUACCCGUACUAGUGCUUAGUGUUAUGGUAUCGUGUAUAGGUUGUGUGUGGUACCGCGAGAAAAAGGUCAAAGAAGAUAAUAAGGAGUACGAAUCUGUCCAGGAAAACGGUCUUCCAAAAUAUAAUUCUAAAGAAAGUGAUACAUGAAUCUUUUGACG